UCAUUUUUGGGGAAAAUGUGAAAAUGGGCAUGUGUGGUGCAAAACUGAUUUUUAAAACACUUCUACAGGAAAAUUCUAGGGAUCAGGCAAAGGUUCAGGGUCAUAAUUAUGUUAUUUUUAUCAUAUAUUUUCAAAUUCUGAUGGUGAUUUAUAUACUUUUUGUGGAUAUAUUGAGAAAAUCAACUUUUCAUUUUUCUGAUCUCUGAAAAUUUAUACCCCGCUUUGUACACAAUUAUAUAUAGGAAGCAUUGAAUGCAUGCUAUUUUUUAAAUCGAUCUAACACAAAACUUACUUAUUCAAAAAGUAUUGUCUUUAUUUCAAAAAAUAGAAAAAGAUUCUUAGUUUCCAUUCCUUUGCAAUUCCAUAAUGCAAAAAGUGGAUAAAAUGGUGAAAUUCUACUACCGAAAACAUAUAUAUUUGCCUAUAUUUCUUUUAUUUACUUUAUGUUAGAGCGCCCUCUACUGACCACAAUCCACAAACUAACUAUACAACAACUAUUACGAAACGGUAAACAAAUUUGGUGCAUCGGGGUUUUUUUUGGCUCAAAGUUAUACUCCUCGUUUACUUGGCACGAUUACCGUUUGUUUUUAUUGAUUAUGGUUUUAUACAUACGCAUUCUGAGAUGUUCGAACUUGCCUUUGAAGAAUUUUCAGUUCGAACUGUGCUGUGAUCAGGUGAUCGGAUAUUUAACGUACCGAUAACUGAGACGGAAAUAGCAUGAGAAGGCAGCCGAAGCUCCGGGCAUGAUCGAGUAAGUGGACGAUCGUUGUUCAUGGCUGCGAGUGUCACUGUCAGAUUUGAUUGAAUCGUGGUUGAUUAUUCCAGCACGAUUUCGUCUAAUAUGUGAUCGUCUGUGCUGAGUGAUGUUGGUGCAUACAGUGGUAAUGAAAAGAAAAUUGGCAACCAGUCAUCUACAAGACGCUGCAUUCAUAUAUACUGUAUGGAAAGGAACAAGAAAAUGGAGGUAGUUUGUCACCUUAAUUGAAGUGCAGUCGACAUAUAGCCGAGUUUACAGUUGACAGUUUAUAUCUUAUGGGUAGAGAAUUUGAACUAAUAAGGAAAGUCCCUGCAGGAAACAAAUCAGGUAUGAUGGCCGUGAUGAGAUAGUGCUGAAAUCUGCGACUAUUUCAAGCAGUCUUGCCUGUCCAGCAUUUACAGACAUGACAUUUGCAGCUCUAUCCAUAGUCAGUGUAGUGAUGGAACCCAUUCAUUUAUACACCUUUUCUGCAUAUGUUUGAAGCAAGAAGCACCUGUUGGACAGAACACAGUAAGCCUGUAAUGUCAAGGGCUAUGAGAGUUGAUUCUUCCAUCACAGCACUGCACCUAGAGGUUGUAACCUUUCUGGCAGACCACACUUUCUACUCGACACCUUUCUUCCAUCACAGCACUGCACCUAGAGGUUGCAACCUUUCUGGCAGACCACACUUUCUACUCGACACCUUGUCUGCACAUGUGUUAAGCAAGAAGCACCUGUUGGACAGAACACAGUAAGCCUGUAAUGUCAAGGGCUAUGAGAGUUGAUUCUUCCAUCACAGCACUGCACCUAGAGGUUGUAACCUUUCUGGCAGACCACACUUUCUACUCGUGUCAGUUUCACAUACAUACUCAACCAUGAGGGAGAUAUACCUUGCAGACAAUCAACUGAUGCAAUUCUGGUUGAUCUUACAAAUAUCAUUAUACAGGUAGAAGUUAAAGGAGAAUGAAACCAUUGGAACAAGAUAGCUUGUGUGAAAACAGAAAAAGCAAAGAAACAGAUCAACGAA